GGAAGCGUAUCGAAGUGGUCAUAACGGGACUGACUCGAAAUCAGUUGUACUCGGUUGAGUACCGUGGGUUCGAAUCCCACCGCGUCCGCCA
rnacentral:tRNA from 1 species